UCAGAUGUUUAGAGCAAAAUUAUCCUCUUAAAUUGUGGUUUAUGGCACACACCUGUGUAGGUUGCUGAAAUUCAGCGUUCACUUGCAAGCAUUGAGAUUCUAAAGUAAAAAGCUCCAGAUUUGUUGCAGGUGACAGACAGUCGAGCUUUAAUAACUAAUAAACAAGUCAAUUUUUCAUGCAGACUGCAGUUCAGCCUGUUUUUCAUUGCAAAGUUAAGCGUUUUUGUCAUCCAAUUCAAAAUCCAUAUAAAUGCAGUGGGAGGCUUUGCUCGCCCAUUUAGGAUCCUUCAUCCUACACCAGCAAUGCUAAUAUAUGAUAUUUACUUUUAAACAAAAUCAGAUGUGUGUUUUACAAAAGAAAUGCCAAUAAUUCAGGCCAUCAAUGUCGCUGCCCAUAAGGCCUCCCUAUAGGCCACCAACUAUAAGGAAGCAAUGUAUAAAAUGAGACACUGCCGCAUUCUAUCAAUGAUUUGCUUCCUAGAAUCAACCAACUAUAAGCAUGUCAGAUAGCUACUAUCAA
rnacentral:lncRNA from 1 species